rnacentral:rRNA from 1 species
GGUUGAUCCUGCCAGUAGUCAUAUGCUCGUCUCAAAGAUUAAGCCAUGCAUGUCUUAGUAUAAGCUGUAUUAUACUGUGAAACUGCGAAUGGCUCAUUACAUCAGUGAUAGUUUCCUUGAUGGUGAUUGUACUACUCGGAUACCCGUAGUAAUUCUAGAGCUAAUACGUGCGUAUAAGGACAAUUUUCGUAAAUUGUUUCGUAUUUAUCAGAUGUUCAACCAACGACCUUUGGUGAUUCAUGAUAACUGUUCGAAUCGUUUCUUUGUGGAGCGAUGUUUCAAUAAAAUUU